UAACGAAUCUUCCGCAAUGCACGAAAGUGUGACGGAGCGACGCCGCGUGGAGGAGAAGCCCUUCGGGGUGUAAACUCCUGUCAGGGGUUAGAAAGUUCUGAUCAACCCCAGAGGAAGGCACGGCUAACUCUGUGCCAGCAGCCGCGGUAAGACAGAGGUGCCAAGCGUUAGGCGGAAUCACUGGGCUUAAAGCGUGUGUAGGCGGAUCGUUAAGUGCCUUGUGAAAUCCCACGGCUCAACCGUGGAACUGCUCGGCAUACUGGCGGUCUUGAGCAACCUAGGGGCGAGCGGAACAAAUGGUGGAGCGGUGAAAUGCGUAGAUAUCAUUUGGAACGCCAAUGGUGAAAACAGCUCGCUGGGGGUUUGCUGACGCUGAGACACGAAAGCCAGGGGAGCAAACGGGAUUAGAUACCCCUGUAGUCC
rnacentral:rRNA from 1 species